GGCAGCAGCGGGCGGGGCCCAGGUGAGGCGCCAGCGCUGCCCGGCAGGUGAAGAAGGAAGAGGAGGCCAGGCGGCUCUAGGCGGUCGAAUCCGGGGCCUCGAUACCCCUUCCUUUCUUCUGCACCACUCUGAGGGUCAGGCGGGUCUGGUGCCAGAACAUGAAUGUCAGUGACCAGUGGCCGGUCUUAGGCUUCCUAGACCUCAGGAGAGAUCCAUCCACUCCCUUCAAGAACCCAGGCUGCUGACUUUACUCAAGGCUCACCUCUUCUCCGAUUGCAUUGUUUUAUGGUUUCACAUAUUUAUCUACCCAGAAGGGAAAAGGAUGGCAAGGCUUCUGGUGAGCUACAGAUAUGAGUAAUGGCUUAAUUUUCCAGUACUCGAGAUGUAGUGUCUUCAGAAUGAGAUCAUCUGUGGAAAAAUAGGUUGUUUAGCUGGGCUCCUGGGCUGUGGGGGUGGGAAGCCCACCCCCGGUCUGUAGGGAGAACCUAUAUGCAAAUAGCUCAUUGUACCUGGUGACUAAUGACAGUGCAGGUAGCCCAGUGGGACUUUGGAACCCUGAAGCCCUCAGGAGGAACACGAGAUCUCCCCAUAGCUACCCAGAAGCUGGUUACCAAGGAAGCAGCUCCCGUUGGGGUCAUCAAGUUUUUAGUUAGGCUCAGCAAAGCCACAGCUGCUCCAGCUUCGAGCAAGAUGUUAUUAAAUCAGCGGGUUCGUUUGGUAGACGCGGAGGGUGCGGUGAAGGAAGGGGUGUAGCUGGGCCGUUGGCUGAGGUCUGCUGCUCCCAGCUUAGGUCCUGUUUUGGAGCCAGCAGACUCUGAGGACCUAGCAAAGGCCAGACUGCUUGUGCCCUCUGCUGGCAGAGACCCAGAGUGCACCCUAUGUAACCCAUGCAGAUGCAAAACCUUGGCUUCAGUUUAAGUAAUAAAAAUUUUAUUGAGAA